AUUGAACGCUGGCGGAAUGCUUUACACAUGCAAGUCGAGCGGCAGCGCGGGGGCAACCCUGGCGGCGAGCGGCGAACGGGUGAGUAAUGCAUCGGAACGUACCCAGUCGUGGGGGGAUAACGUGGCGAAAGUCACGCUAAUACCGCAUACGUCCUGAGGGAGAAAGCAGGGGAUCGCAAGACCUUGCGCGAUUGGAGCGGCCGAUGUCUGAUUAGCUAGUUGGUGGGGUAAAGGCCUACCAAGGCGACGAUCAGUAGCUGGUCUGAGAGGACGAUCAGCCACACUGGGACUGAGACACGGCCCAGACUCCUACGGGAGGCAGCAGUGGGGAAUAUUGCGCAAUGGGCGAAAGCCUGACGCAGCCACGCCGCGUGAGUGAUGAAGGCC
rnacentral:rRNA from 1 species